GAUGAACGCUGGCGGCGUGCCUAAUACAUGCAAGUCGAGCGAACAGACGAUGAGCUUUCUCCUCUGACGUUAGCGGCGGACGGGUGAGUAACACGUGGAUAACCUACCUAUUAUUCUUGGAUAACUUCGUGAAACCGCAUCUAAUACCGGAUAACAUGUUUAACCGCAUUGUUCAACAGUUAAUGACGGUUUUUCUGUCUCUUAUAGCUGCAUCCGCGCUGCAUUAGCUAGUUGGUAAGGUAACGGCUUACCAAGGCAACGAUGCGUAGCCGACCUGAGAGGGUGAUCGGCCACACUGGAACUGAGACACGGUCCAGACUCCUACGGGAGGAAGCAGUAGGGAAUAUUGCGCAAUGGGCGAAAGCCUGACGGAGCAACGCCGCGUGAGUGAAGAAGGUCUUCGGAUCGUAAAACUCUGUUAUUAGGGAAGAAAAAAAGUGUAAGUAAAUAUGCACGUGUUGACGGUACCGAAAGAGAAAGCAACGGCUAACUACGUG
rnacentral:rRNA from 1 species